GUUUGUGUUCUACAUUGUUUUUCUAUCUCCACAGUUAAGCGUGCUCAGGCUAGAGUAGUACUGGGAUGGGUGACCACCUAGGAAGUCCUAGUGUUUUACAUGCC
rnacentral:rRNA from 1 species